GGCCCCAUCGUCUAGCGGUCCAGGACGCUGCCUUCUCAGGGCAGAGAUCGCGGGUUCGAAUCCCGCUGGGGUCA
rnacentral:tRNA from 1 species